rnacentral:lncRNA from 1 species
CUAGGGAAAAACUAGCGAAGGGGGCAAGGACAGAGGAAAGCCGAGAAGCCUAGGGGUCCUUACGGAAGGAAGGGUGUGCCUCUCUCUCAGUUGGCUGUUCCUGUCCCCAGCCUGUUGGAGGAGGAAGUGGCAAGCCAGAGGGUUCUUUGCAAAUAGGGUCAGGAUGGGACUCCUGGAGCUCUAACUUUACUGGCCCCCCUCUUUACUGACAUCAAGGUCCCUCCUAGAUAAGGAUGAAGAAGAAAGGCGUGGAGGCCUCCACCUUCCCCCUCUGCACACAGCAUGACAUACCCUGACUUCUGUGGCUAUUGGAACCAGCCUAAUUCCUCACUUAUGACAUUGCCCGCCAUCCUGGAGUGCCUUGUCCACUUUCCAUCUUCAAGGUCACACAGUUGUUUUUUACUUUUUGGCAGUGUCCUAUUAUCAUCCCGGAGAAAGUCAGUACUAGAAAAAUAACACUGCAACUUUUUUUUUUUUUUUUUUUUUACAGGAAUACAGUUGAAUGGGAGGAAUAACUUCUAGCAGUUACAAUGGGGUAAGUAUGGUUGACAGCUAUUAAUGGGGUAUUUCAAAAUAGCUAGUACAGAGGACUUUGGCUCUUCCAACAUAAACAAAUGGUAAUUUAGAGUGAUGAAUAUUCCACUAACCAUGAUCUGAUCGUUACACAUAUAGUAUACUGAAAUAUCCCAUCAUACUCUUUAAAUUUGUAUAGUUAUUGUGUCAGUUAAACUUUUUAAAAAUAUUAAAAAGGGCAUGUUAACAAAGUGGCCUGUACUAAGAAUCAGAGGAUCAGACUUUUACCCCCAAUUCUAACUAACUUGGUUCUGUCCCCCGCCUCACAAGUGCAAAGACCUGAGUUCGAUCUCUGGUACCAAAAAAAAAAAAAAAAAGUGUAAAAC